rnacentral:rRNA from 1 species
UACAGAGGGGGCAAGCGUUGUUCGGAAUUACUGGGCGUAAAGGGCGCGUAGGCGGCCUGCUAAGUCGAACGUGAAAUCCCUGGGCUUAACCCAGGAACUGCGUCCGAUACUGGCAGGCUUGAAUCCGGGAGAGGGAUGCGGAAUUCCAGGUGUAGCGGUGAAAUGCGUAGAUAUCUGGAGGAACACCGGUGGCGAAGGCGGCAUCCUGGACCGGUAUUGACGCUGAGGCGCGAAAGCCAGGGGAGCAAACGGG